ACAGCUCCAACAUGGCUCCGCGUCUGUGCAGCAUCUCUGCGGCGGCGCGGCGGCUACUGGGGGGCCCAGGGCUUGGUGCCCGGGACACUGCGGCUGUGGCUGCGGCGCGGUUCUAUUCCAAGGACAAUGAAGGCAGCUGGUUCCGUUCCCUCUUCGUACACAAGGUGGAUCCUCGGAAGGAUGCCCACUCUACCCUGCUGUCUAAGAAGGAGACCAGCAACCUCUACAAGAUCCAGUUUCACAAUGUGAAGCCCGAGUGUCUGGAUGCCUACAACAGCCUGACGGAGGCCGUGCUGCCCAAGCUGCACCUGGAUGAGGACUACCCCUGCUCGCUUGUGGGCAACUGGAACACGUGGUACGGGGAGCAGGACCAGGCUGUACACCUGUGGCGAUUCUCAGGUGGCUACCCAGCCCUCAUGGACUGCAUGAACAAGCUCAAAAACAACAAGGAGUACCUGGAGUUCCGAAAGGAGCGGAGCCAGAUGCUGCUUUCCAGGAGGAACCAGAUGCUUCUCGAGUUCAGCUUCUGGAAUGAGCCACAGCCUCGAGCUGGCCCCAACAUCUACGAGCUGAGGACGUACAAGCUCAAGCCAGGAACCAUGAUCGAGUGGGGGAACAACUGGGCUCGGGCCAUCAAGUACCGGCAGGAGAACCAGGAAGCAGUGGGCGGCUUCUUCUCGCAGAUAGGAGAGCUCUACGUUGUGCACCAUCUCUGGGCCUAUAAGGACCUGCAGUCUCGGGAGGAGACCCGAAACGCUGCCUGGAGGAAGAGGGGCUGGGAUGAAAAUGUCUACUACACAGUCCCCCUGGUGCGACACAUGGAGUCUCGGAUCAUGAUCCCUUUGAAGAUCUCGCCUCUGCAGUGAUGCUGCUGCUGCCUCCCCCUCUCCAUCGGGGUAGCCAGGGACAAAGGGGCUUCCAGUCCUGCUGUCUUGGUUUCCUCUUGGAUCCUGUGGACUCUGGCGGGUAGUGCUCAGCUCAGACAAGGGAAAGCUGAAGGAUGAUGAGUUUCUGAGGACUUAUAGUUCUGCCCAGACCCUUCCCAUCUUCCCCACUCACCCCUUCCCCUGUGUUGGAAGCAGUUUUUAUUUUAAGUUCUCUGAAUGAAGAAUAGCAACCUUUUAUGUCUUCUUACGGUUCCCUCUAAGAUGACUCAUCUCAAGGCCAGCAAUCCACAGUCUCACCCUGGAAAUCCUCAGUUUAGCUUUAGCUGCACAAAAGGUAGUGUGUCCAGUGGUUAGAGGUGGGGUAGAAAGAGAGAAGGUCAUACCAGGCCAGGCUCUCACAAAUUCUCUGGUUUCCACUCAGCCACUGAGCCAAGUCCCUCCUCCUGGAGAAAAGCCUAGAACUGCCCCAAGAAGCAAAAGGGAAAACCCUCAAAUUAGCAAAGUCUGCUGGACAUCCACAUAUUCCACCCAAUAUUCUACACAGAAAGGCUGGGAAAGGGGAUGGGAGCUGGGAGGAUCUGGGGGAGGGAAAAAGAAUGGAACAGAAACUCAGAAGGUAGAACUUAGGACUCAGAACUUGUGUUGGAACUGCAGAAUUUGGAAUAUAGAAUCGAGAAGAUAGGAGUUCCCAUUAUGGCUCCGUGGAAACAAAUCUGACUAGUAUCCAAGAGGAUGCAGAUUUGAACCCUGGCCUCGCUCAGUGGGUUAAGGAUCUGGUGUUUCCAGAUGUGAUGGUGCUGUGGCGGAGAUCACAGAUGUGGCUGAGAUCCCAUGUGGCUGUGGCAUAGGAAUUUUGGCAGGUGCCCAAGGCAGGGCUGGCUUCUCCACGUGGCUGAUCCACCCCAGUGGAGGGUUUUUUGUUUCCUGAAAUCCUAUCGAGGAGCAUCCUCCCACUAUGGCAGAAGGAACUGCACUAUAUAACCAGGGAUUCGGGACAUGUGUUUCUGCCUUCAGAUAAGUAGGACUUAGUAAACUCUAUCUGUACUCAUACCUGGGGUAGAAAAUGCUUGAAACUGUCAAAUGCUGCAUUAGAUUUGGGGCUCUACCCUAGGUAAAUGUGGCCUAAAAUGGGGAAAAUACCGAUCAAUCUUUGCGGGGGUGGGGGGAGGAGGCUGAAUGAAAUGGGCUUAAAACCCUCCCUGACUUGCUGCCCUCACUAGUGUGGGAUGUUAGGGUGGAUGUGAUGGUGAUUUAGAAUCCAGGUUAUGGAAGCAAAUCCACAGGGAUCCAGAUCUUAACACCACCACGCUGGGUUAUCCUGGGCAUGGGCAAAUUCAUUCAACACCUGGCAGAGCUCCCAUAGUUGUCGGACAUCGUUUUAGGCGCUGGGGAAAGAAUGAACGAGGCACAUAAGAGGCUUUGCCCUUGCAGCCUCGGUUUCCUAGUUUCAGGGGGCAGCAUGAGGCUGCUGGCUGGCUAGGACCCGCUCUGACAAACCAGGUGCCGCCUCCGCCGGCGUCCGCACCUCCUUGCUUCCCAGCAGAUACCAGCACAGCAGUCUGAGCCAGGACCCUUCGCGCUUCGCUUCCGGCCUCCGCGCCUCGCUUCCGGUCGACCGCUCCUUCCUUCCGCUUCUCUAUGGUGCGCGGUCCGCAGUCCUCCCGACGCCGGAAGUGGCUCGUUCACCGGGACGGAUUCUGGGCGCGUGCGGUGUUCAACAUUAUCGAUCACCUGUGGACCAUCAAAAGCCUGCUCCCAGGUCAUCUUUAUCGUCUUCCUCAGUGGAGUGCUUCCUGUGUUAAUGUCCACAAUAGCCCCAGAGCCAUGAAAUAGAGGCGUGGAGACUCCAUCUCGGGGCUUCUGUGACUCAACUUGAAUGAGGUCUCUGCUGUUUCCUCCUGAUUUCUCCAAACAACCAUGUCAUCAGAAUCGAGCAAAAAACGGAAGCCCAAAGUGAUCCGGAGUGAUGGAGCUCCAGCUGAAGGGAAGCGUAAUCGUUCUGACACUGAGCAGGAAGGUAAAUACUACAGCGAGGAGGCUGAGGUGGACCUGCGGGACCCUGGCAGAGACUAUGAGCUGUACAAGUACACGUGUCAAGAGUUGCAGAGGCUCAUGGCUGAGAUCCAGGACCUGAAAAGCAGGGGAGGCAAGGAUGUGGCCAUUGAGAUUGAAGAUCGGAGGAUCCAGAGCUGUGUACAUUUCAUGACUCUAAAGAAGCUUAACCGAUUAGCCCACAUCAGGUUGAAGAAAGGAAGAGAUCAGACCCAUGAGGCCAAGCAGAAAGUGGAUGCCUAUCACCUGCAGCUCCAGAACCUGUUGUAUGAGGUGAUGCACCUGCAGAAGGAGAUCACCAAAUGUCUGGAGUUUAAGUCAAAGCAUGAAGAAAUUGACCUGGUCAGCUUGGAGGAGUUUUAUAAGGAGGCUCCUCCAGAUAUCAGUAAAGCCGAAGUCACCAUGGGAGACCCUCACCAGCAAACUCUUGCACGUCUGGACUGGGAGCUGGAGCAGCGGAAAAGGCUGGCAGAGAAGUACCGAGAGUGCUUAUCCAACAAGGAGAAGAUCCUCAAGGAGAUUGAGGUGAAGAAGGAGUACCUGAGCAGCCUCCAGCCCCGACUCAACAGCAUCAUGCAGGCUUCCCUCCCAGUGCAAGAGUACCUGUUUAUGCCCUUCGACCAGGCUCACAAGCAGUAUGAGACAGCCAGACACCUACCACCUCCCCUCUAUGUCCUCUUUGUCCAGGCCACUGCAUAUGGGCAGGCCUGUGCUCAUAUGAAAUCCUCCCAGCCCCCUAGACAGGAUAAGACGCUGUCUGUGGCGAUAGAAGGCAGCGUGGACGAAGCCAAGGCUCUAUUCAAGCCUCCUGAGGACUCCCAAGAUGACGAGAGCGACUCGGAUGCUGAGGAGGAACAGACCACGAAACGCCGGCGACCCACUCUGGGAGUUCAGCUGGACGACAAACGCAAGGAGAUGCUGAAGAGGCACCCGCUGUCCGUCAUGCUGGACCUGAAAUGCAAAGAUGACAGUGUCCUGCACCUGACUUUCUACUACCUCAUGAACCUCAACAUCAUGACAGUAAAAGCCAAAGUGACAACCGCCACAGAGCUGAUCACCCCCAUCAGUGCAGGUGACUUGCUGUCUCCUGACUCAGUCCUAAGCUGUCUGUAUCCUGGGGAUCAUGGAAAGAAAACUCCAAAUCCAGCCAAUCAGUAUCAGUUUGACAAAGUUGGCAUCCUGACUUUGAGAGACUACGUACUUGACCUAGGUCACCCCUAUUUGUGGGUGCAGAAGCUGGGUGGUCUCCACUUCCCCAAAGAGCAGCCCCAGCACACUGUGGUCGCUGACCACUCGCUGAGCGCCAGCCACAUGGAGACCACCAUGAAGCUGCUGAAGACCAGGGUGCAGUCCCGCCUGGCCCUCCACAAGCAGUUUGCCUCCCUGGAACAUGGCAUCGUGCCAGUUACCAGUGAUUGCCAGUACCUCUUCCCUGCAAAGGUCGUCUCUCGCCUGAUGAAGUGGGUGGCAAUUGCCCAUGAGGAUUACAUGGAGCUGCAUUUCACCAAAGACAUUGUGGAGGCGGGACUGGCCGGGGACACCAAUCUCUACUACAUGGCACUCGUGGAAAGGGGCACAGCUAAGCUCCAGGCGGCCGUGGUGCUGAACCCUGGCUACUCCUCCAUCCCGCCCAUUUUCCAGCUCUGUCUGAACUGGAAAGGGGAGAAAACCAACAGCAACGAUGACAAUAUUCGGGCCAUGGAGAGCGAGGUCAACGUUUGCUACAAAGAGCUGUGUGGCCCCCGGCCCAGCCACCAGCUCUUGACCAACCAGCUGCAGCGCCUGUGCGUGCUGUUGGACGUCUACCUGGAGACGGAGAGCCACGACGACAGUGUGGAGGGGCCCAAGGAAUUUCCCCAGGAGAAGAUGUGUCUGAGGCUUUUCAGGGGUCCCAGCAGGAUGAAGCCGUUUAAAUAUAACCAUCCUCAAGGAUUCUUCAGCCAUCGCUGACCUCCCACUUAGCUAUUGUCCGCCUCCAGACCCCAGUACUGCACUUCUUUCUGAUCUGGCACACAUGUGGCUCUUGAUAUUCUCCAAAGACAGGUUUUCUAUUUGUAGCCUAUUAAAGUGUCACCUGACCGAGUG
rnacentral:lncRNA from 1 species